rnacentral:rRNA from 1 species
GAGCCUAAAACCAAGCCCCAUAAAUAUCCUCAUAUUCCACUACUUUAUUUAUUACAAAAUAAAUCAUUUUAACUACAUAGUAGAGGCGAUCAAAAUAAUAUUAAGCGCUAAAACAAAGUACCGUAAGGGAAAGGUGAAAUAAAUGAAAAAUUUAAAGCUAAAAAUAGCAGAGAUUUAAACCCGUACCUUUUGCAUCAUGGUCUAGCUAGUCUAAUCAAGCAAAAUGAAAUUUUAGUUUGCCUUCCCGAAACUAAGCGAGCUACUUCAAAACAGCCUUAGAGCUAACCCGUCUCUGUAGCAAUAGAGUGGGAAGAUUUUCAAGUAGAAGUGAUAAGCCUAUCGAGCCUAGAGAUAGCUGGUUAUUCAAUAAAAGAAUUUUAGUUCUGCCUUAAAUUUAUUAAUGAUAUAAACAACCAUAAAAAUUUAAGAGUUACUCAAAUAAGGCACAGCUUAUUUGAAGAAGGAUACAACCUCAACUACCGGGUAAACCAAAAAUCUUUAUUAAGUGGGCCUAAAAGCAGCCACCUUUAAAAAAGCGUUACAGCUUAAUCUCUAUUACAAUAAAUUCAUCUAUUAACCAUUAACCCGCCCCCAUUACUGAAUGACUCUAUAAUAUAUAGAAAACACAAUGCUAGAACUAGUAACAAGAAUAUAAUAUUCUCCUCAAUACAAAUUCAAACCGAAACGGAUCCCCCACCGGUAAAUAACGAAAAUGAGUCCACUACAGCAACUUACUAGAAAACCCUGCACACACUAUUCGUUAACCUGACACUAGAGUAUUCCCGGAAAGAUUAAAAGGGAAAGAAGGAACUCGGCAAAUCUUAACCCCGCCUGUUUAACAAAAACAUCGCCUCUUGAUUAUUAAUAAGAGGUCCAGCCUGCCCAGUGAUAAUAUUCAACGGCCACGGUACCCUAACCAUGCGAAGGUAGCAUAAUCACUUGUUCUUUAAAUAAGGACUCGUAUCAACGGCACCACGAGGGUUAUACUGUCUCCUCUCCCCAAUCAGUGAAACUGAUCUCCCUGUGAAAAAGCAGGGAUAACAUUAUAAGACGAGAAGACCCCAUGGAGCUUUAAACCCCAAGCAACUUUACUACAUAUUUCAUUUUAUUUACUAAAUUAUUGCCUACCGGUUUUAGGUUGGGGCGACCGCGGAGUAAAAAACAACCUCCAUAACGAAAAAACCUUAAUUUUUAUCUAAGAUCUACUACUCAAAGAAUUAGAAAACUAACGUACUAUGACCCGACAACGAUCAACGAACCAAGUUACCCUGGGGAUAACAGCGCAAUCUACUUCAAGAGCUCAUAUCAACAAGUAGGUUUACGACCUCGAUGUUGGAUCAGGGUAUCCCAGUGGUGCAGCCGCUACUAACGGUUCG